rnacentral:rRNA from 1 species
ACGCGAAGACCUUACCGUGGGCUCGAAAUGUAGUGGAAUCCGGCAGAAACGUCGGCGUCUAGCAAUAGACCGCUAUAUAGGUGCUGCAUGGCUGUCGUCAGCUCGUGUCGUGAGAUGUUGGGUUAAGUCCCGCAACGAGCGCAACCCUUAUCUUCAGUUGCUACCAUUUAGUUGAGCACUCUGACGAAACCGCCUCGGAUAACGGGGAGGAAGGUGGGGAUGACGUCAAGUCCUCAUGGCCUUUAUGUCCAGGGCUACACACGUGCUACAAUGGCCGGUACAAACCGCUGCAACCCCGCGAGGGUGAGCUAAUCGGAAAAAGCCGGCCUCAGUUCGGAUUGGAGUCUGCAACUCGACUCCAUGAAGCCGGAAUCGCUAGUAAUCGUGGAUCAGCAUGCCACGGUGAAUACGUUCCCGGGUCUUGUACACACCG